AGAACGAACGCUGGCGGCAUGCCUAACACAUGCAAGUCGAACGAGACCUUCGGGUCUAGUGGCGCACGGGUGCGUAACGCGUGGGAAUCUGCCCUUGGGUUCGGAAUAACAGCGAGAAAUUGCUGCUAAUACCGGAUGAUGACGUAAGUCCAAAGAUUUAUCGCCCAAGGAUGAGCCCGCGUAGGAUUAGCUUGUUGGUGAGGUAAGAGCUCACCGAAGGCGACGAUCCUUAGCUGGUCUGAGAGGAUGAUCAGCCACACGUGGGACUGAGACACGGACCCAGACUCCGUACGGGA
rnacentral:rRNA from 1 species